CCAGCUUUUCCACGGCCAUGCGGACAGUCCUGCCAGCUUUGUGCUAUCUGCACCAAUGUCACUCUGCAGCACCCGUGUCUGUGGCGUGUUCCUGGCGAAUGGGAUGUAUUCAUCAUUAACUGAAAUGUCUCGUCUGCAGUACAAGAUUCUGCUGUACUCACUGGACGGCCGGUUGUUGUCUGCGUACAGCGCUUACGAGUGGUCCCUGGGCAUCAAGUCUGUGGCCUGGAGCCCUAGCAGUCAGUUUCUGGCAGUUGGGAGCUACGAUGGAAAGGUGCGCAUCCUUAAUCACGUGACUUGGAAAAUGAUCACGGAGUUUGGGCAUCCUGCAACCAUUAAUAAUCCCAAGAUAGUAAGUCUGGAACACGUGUUUGUGCCUGAGCAGGCUGUUGGGGAGGGCGGUGGGAAACUGCUCCUUCACUUUGCUUUCUUG
rnacentral:sRNA from 1 species